rnacentral:rRNA from 1 species
UGGGGAAUAUUGCACAAUGGAGGGAACUCUGAUGCAGCGACGCCGCGUGAGUGAUGAAGGAAUUCGUUUCGUAAAACUCUGUUCUAUGGGAAGAAAAGGACUGUACCAUAGGAGAAAGCUCCGGCUAAAUACGUCCCAGCAGCCGCGGUAAUACGUAUGGAGCGAGCGUUGUCCGGAAUUAUUGGGCGUAAAGGGUGCGCAGGCGGCUUUACAAGUUGGAUGUGAAAUAUUGUGGCUCAACCACAAACGUGCAUCCAAAACUGCAAAGCUUGAGUUAAGGAGAGGUAAGUGGAAUUCCUGGUGUAGCGGUGGAAUGCGUAGAUAUCAGGAGGAAUACCGGUGGCGAAGGCGACUUACUGGACUUAAACUGACGCUCAGGCACGAAAGCGUGGGGAGCAAACAGG